rfam:Monodelphis domestica chromosome 2, whole genome shotgun sequence.
UCCCUGGUGGUCCAGUGGCUAGGAUUCGGCGCUUUCACCGCCGCGGCCCGGGUUCGAUUCCCGGUCAGGGAA